GUUAAGAAUGAGUUUCACAAAUGCUAGAAUAUCUAUACAGAUCUAUAGAUAUACAGGAUGCGGUCGAAUAACAUGUACAAGCGGACGUGAGGUGAUUCCUUAUGAAAAAACAAGAAAAUGUAGAAUAAAAUUUUGACCGAGGCUUUGUUUUAGAAAAAAUCGUAUUUGAAAAUUUAUCAAGUGCACUUGAUCAUCAUUAAUUAUUGACUAGUUUCUGCUGAUGGAUAAACUACGCCUGGACAAUCUAUCAAGUAAAUACGUCGCAUCAAAGUAAUAUACUGCCAUACUUUUGUCUCUCCUGCUAUUGGUGCAACACUACAUACUUUCUUUGAUCUUAAGUUUUGCAAACUGGCGUAACAAAUUAAUCAAAGAACCUUUACCAAAUGGAUGCGUCAUAGAAGCAUGAAAGGCCACUGUUGGAUAUUCUGCACUUAAUAUUGCAA
rnacentral:lncRNA from 1 species